rnacentral:siRNA from 1 species
UAAUACUCAACGUUGUCGCAU